CUUUAUUGGAGAGUUUGAUCCUGGCUCAGGACGAACGCUGGCGGCAUGCCUAAUACAUGCAAGUCGAGCGGACUAUCAGAGAAGCUUGCUUCUCUGAUAGUUAGCGGCGGACGGGUGAGUAACACGUAGGCAACCUGCCCUCAAGUUUGGGACAACUACCGGAAACGGUAGCUAAUACCGAAUAGUUGUUUUCUUCUCC
rnacentral:rRNA from 1 species